rnacentral:piRNA from 1 species
UUCAUCUGUGAGUAAACCAAGGAAAG